rnacentral:rRNA from 1 species
UACGAAGGGGGCUAGCGUUGCUCGGAAUCACUGGGCGUAAAGCGCACGUAGGCGGAUCUUUAAGUCAGGGGUGAAAUCCUGGAGCUCAACUCCAGAACUGCCUUUGAUACUGGGGAUCUCGAGUCCGGGAGAGGUGAGUGGAACUGGCGAGUGUAGAGGUGAAAUUCGUAGAUAUUCGCAAGAACACCAGUGGCGAAGGCGGCUCACUGGCCCGGUACUGACGCUGAGGUGCGAAAGCGUGGGGAGCAAAC